rnacentral:rRNA from 1 species
AGCCUAAAGAAACUGAUUUUAGGUGACCCCUGCCCAGCGACACAAGUUUAGCGGCCGCAGUACCUUGACUGUGCUAAGGUAGCAUAAUAAUUUGUCCUUUAAUUGAGGUCUUGAAUGAACGGGCCCACGAGAAAUGUGCUGUCUCCUGUAUGAAGUCUGCUGAAGUUACUUAAAAGGUGAAAAUUCCUUUGGACAGUGAAAAAAGACGAGAAGACCCUUAGAAUUUUGAUAAAAACUAUUAUUAGUGAUAGAUUAGUUUUCGUUGGGGCGACGAGGUAGCAGAUGGCUAACCUACUUAAUCUUAUUCUUGAUAUAUCGGGUUUUACUACAAAUAAUUAAAUUACCUAAGGGAUAACAGCAUAAUACUUAUUAGUGUUUGUGACCUCGAUGUUGGACUAGGGACUAAUUGGUUAGCCACCAGGAUAGAUGAUUCUGUUCGAAUCCCACACCCU